rnacentral:rRNA from 1 species
GACGAACGCUGGCGGCGUGCUUAACACAUGCAAGUCGAACGGAAAGGCCCUGCUUUUGUGGGGUGCUCGAGUGGCGAACGGGUGAGUAACACGUGAGUAACCUGCCCUUGACUUUGGGAUAACUUCAGGAAACUGGGGCUAAUACGGGAUAGGAGCUCCUGCUGCAUGGUGAGGGUUGGAAAGUUUCGGCGGUUGGGGAUGGACUCGCGGCUUAUCAGCUUGUUGGUGGGGUAGUGGCUUACCAAGGCUUUGACGGGUAGCCGGCCUGAGAGGGUGACCGGCCACAUUGGGACUGAGAUACGGCCCAGACUCCUACGGGAGGCAGCAGUGGGGAAUAUUGCACAAUGGGCGGAAGCCUGAUGCAGCAACGCCGCGUGCGGGAUGACGGCCUUCGGGUUGUAAACCGCUUUCGCCUGUGACGAAGCGUGAGUGACGGUAAUGGGUAAAGAAGCACCGGCUAACUACGUG